UUAUACCAAACAAGAAAUGAGUUUACUCUAUCACAUCCCAUCUCUCGAACCAAACAAAAAACAGAACUAAUCCAUCCUACCAACCAAACAGAAAAAUAGAAUCAACCCAUUCUAGUAACCAGGGAUUAAACCAACUCAUAUCAUCUCAUCCAUGAACCAAACGCACUCUAAAAAGCUGAAAAUAUGCAUAGAGAGAGAUGAAAGUGUGGUCGUCGUGUGGUCUGAUCUGGAGAUAUGAUGGAUCUGUCUGCUCAUGGUCAGCUUCAGGUCUGCUGUUUGGCAUGCAUGCAACAAUGGCUUUUGGUCAGAGCAACUGCCACUGGAGACCUGCCGAGCCAGACAUGCUACUGUACCACCUCGCUUUUCCGGCCCUGUCCAAGCACCGCAUCCAUAGAUACUGCUCCCCUAGCAAAAAAAAUAUACAUUUUUAAUUACGGUGUACGUCACCACACCUGUCUUAUUUAAAAUUUUUGUUAACUUUUUUAAAAAUAAUUACAUGUAAAUACUAAUUAUAUUUUAUCAUCUAAUAAUAAUAAAAAUAUUAAUCGUAAAAAUUUUGAAACAAAUAGAGUAACAGUGGAUGUUUAAGCAAUACAUUGGUCCAAGUGCUGAAAUAAGUUGAUGACAUGUCUCAAAAAAAAUUGGCUUUUAAUAAAAAAAACUAUUGCUUAGUGGGCUGUCACUGUAUAUAGAAAGAAACGAUUUACUCAAAUGUUUCUCUUAAAGUAAAAAUUUCAAGAAGAAAAAAUCAAUUGUUUGACAUGUAGACUUUUAUCAUUGUUACUCCAAACAAAAGACAUCGACUAGUGAUAUGAUGUCUACUGUAGUUUGGUUUAGUGCCAAAUAAACCAUAAAAAUGGUAAAGGAACAUAAUUAAUUAAAAUCCAUUAGGUUAAAGAAAUUUUCUUUGAAGUAACUUAAUCCAAAUUCUUUAUCAAUUCAGACAACCUACUUCACCAAAAAAAAAAGGCUUUUCUUUGCCAAGUUUUUUUUGUUAAAUCAAGAAUUGAUGCAAUCAAAACAAUCCUGCAUAAUAUAAGGGACUGCAUGAUGCUCUAGUAAUUAUUACUCCAAUUAAAGGGAGGGAAGCAUUUUAAAAUAUUUCUCUCUGAGAGAUUAAUCGGGUAUAUGAGAUCCUGUUUGGUUCUUUGCAUAAUAAUUUUUGCGCAUUGUCAAGGCCCAACCAAGGCCUAGUGGAAAAUCCACGCGAGCAAAGGGUAAAGUGUUGGGAGCAAUCUAGUUAGCCUGCUUUCAGCCCAAGUAACGGUUUAGUGAGGCGUACGGCCCUUACUAUAAUGGGCUCCUCCCUGCCUCCCAGAUGGGCUAACGGCCCAUUUUUUCACCGACAAUAGGAAUUCCUUCCUUGAUAAUAUUGAUUGAUCCCUUCCUCCACCACUUGCCACAUUCUGUACCCACCCACCCACCAAUUUUUUUUUAAAAAAAAAUCCCCAGUGAAAAAAAAAACAUUUCACUCUUUCUAGUAUAGGGGAAAUUUUUCCCACUGAUUUCAAGAAAAAUCUCCAUAUUACAAAGAUGACAUUAGACAUCAGUUCUGUUCCCCAAAGAAACGUACAUACUCUACUCUCACACAUGGCUCAUUAUUUGUCUUUUUUAUAAAAAAAACAAAACAAGUAUUUAUAAAUAAAAAAUAAUUUAUAAAUAAAAUUUUUAUAUACAUUAAGCAAAGACUGAAAAAUAAAAUACAUUAAAAAUACCUUAAAUAAACUUCAAGUGUAAGAUUAAAAAAUAAUGACUUACACGAAAUGACGUAGCUGGUAAGUAAUUGCUUAACCGUAAUACGUAUAAAAAAACAUUAUGAAUCCAUAAAACCAAGUUGUCUGUUAACCUAUAAUGGGAUCAUGUUGAUUCCGUCGCUGCCAGUGAUGGUAGACCUUCUCCCUCUUCUUCCUGUUUCAUAAGAAGCACAUUUAAAAUAUAAAAUUUUACUAAUAAAUAUUACCAAAACGUAUCAUAAUUUAUCAAAAUCCGUAUGUAUGAUACAACUGUGCGGUGUCCCAAACCGGAAGAAAGAAAGAAAGAAAGAAAGAAGAAGAAGAGAGUAAAAUGGAUCCCCUCCGGCGGCGGAACGCAAGGCCGGAUUUUGGCGGCUGGCCGGACCUCCCACCGGAGCUCCU
rnacentral:lncRNA from 1 species